rnacentral:rRNA from 1 species
AGCGUUAAUCGGAAUUACUGGGCGUAAAGAGUGCGCAGGCGGCUCUCUAAGACAGGUGUGAAAUCCCCGGGCUUAACCUGGGAAUGGCGCUUGUGACUGGAGAGCUAGAGUGUGGCAGAGGGGAAUGGAAUUCCUGGUGUAGCAGUGAAAUGCGUAGAUAUCAGGAGGAACACCGAUGGCGAAGGCAGUUCCCUGGGCCAACACUGACGCUCAUGCACGAAAGCGUGGGGAGCAAACAGGAUUAGAUACCCUGGUAGUCCACGCCCUAAACGAUGUCAACUAGUUGUUGGGGAAGGAGACUUCUUUAGUAACGUAGCUAACGCGUGAAGUUGACCGCCUGGGGAGUACGGCCGCAAGGUUAAAACUCAAAUGAAUUGACGG